GCUGGGUCCCGCCCCUUCUUCCGGCUGGGUUCCACUACCUGCAAGGCUGGAACUGACAGCCACUGUGCAAACAAAAAAAGGCAACAAGCAUGCUGGGACCAUUCUGUCUGCUGUUUGGGUCUCACUUGUCCUGACAACUAAAAAUCAUCAGUGGAAAGAGGUUGCAGCAUUUGAAAAUUAUCAAAAAGCAGCAGAGACAAGUUUGGGUGGUUUCCAGGGGAGAGGCACUGAAAGUGAUUGAUUCCUAUCAAAAGCACAAGGACAGGAAGCUAGAGUCAUCCUAACAAGAGUGAUAGUCUUUCCCCAAGUGAGACCAGGCUGUGCUGUCUGGGGAAAAGCAUUGCUGGCCUUGUCGAGAUGCACCGACGACUCAGCUCAGCUAAGGACUUAACCAGUACAGGACUUGCUGCAGCGGAGCCUGAGCUGGAUAUGGAAAGCAAAAGGGUGACAUGCAAAAGGAACAUCUAAAUGCUCUUCCUGUGAUCUUUGGGGAAAGCACCCGAGUAGAAAGAGUGUCCACGGUACAUUAUCCAUGUAAAAAGUUGUGUCUGGCUACUCCCUUGAACCAGCAGAGACAGAUAUCAGGACAACAUGGCCUUAAUAUGGAGCAUAGGAUUCUUUGGACUUAAAGCUUCAUCUGAGUGCUCGGCUCCGCUUGGAUGUUUCACAGGUUCUACAGCCCCCAGCUGAAGUUAUGGUCUCCAACCACCCGCUACCUGUUCUCCCUUCCUGCUUUUCCAUCUCCAUAAAUGGCAGCACAUCUGUCCAUGGGCUUAAGAAACACCAGGACCUUCUUAUAGAGUGUCUUACAGUAUCCUUAAAGACUCCCUCCUCCGGGUGGAUCACGAGGUCAAGAGAUCGAGACCAUCCUGGCCAACAUGGUGAAACCCUGUCUCUACUAAAAAUACAAAAAUUAGCCGGGCGUGGUGGCGGGCACUUGUAAUCCCAGCUACUCGGGAGGCUGAGGCAGGAGAAUGUCGUGAACCCGGGAGGCGGAGCUUGCAGUGAGCCGAGAUCGCACCACUGCACUCCAGCCUGGGCAACAGAGGGAGACUCCGUCUCAAAAUAAAUAAAUAAAUAAAUAAAUAAAUAAAUAAAUAAAUAAAUAAAUAAAUAAAAGACUCCUUCUGCACCCGUUCAAAACCACUCAAUAACCUGACAAUUAUUUGCCUACUAAUUAUUUUCUGAAUUCGUUGCCCUGUCUUCUUUCCGACUUCAGCUUUCUAAAAUGAACCCCUCUGGCCAGGCGCGGUGGCUCACGCCUGUAAUCUCAGGACUCUGGAAGGCCAAGGCGGGCAGAUUGCCUGAGGUCAGAAGUUCGAGACCAG
rnacentral:lncRNA from 1 species